CAACAAAAGCCUCGUUUAUAAUGGGUUUUAUUGUUUUUGUCUUGUCAUGCCUGGACACACAGCAUCACAGUAUGGUUAGGUGAUAACAUUUCCAUCACACGCUUGAGGAAUUCGGCCAAUCACAACGCACUGGAUAGCUGGCCAAUCAGCGUACACAUUGCUUUUCAGACCGAUGAGCUUUGUAAAAAUCGACGAGUUUCAGAAAGGCGGGGCAUAGAGGAGCAUUACAUAAUGUGGAAAAUAAUGUGUUUUUUUUUUUAACCUUAAACCACAUAAACACAUUGCAUUAUACCAAAUGAUGUUAUUUUUAGCAAUGUCAAAUGACCCCUUUAAAACAUUUAUGCUUUUAAUUAGUUGAGUAUUACAACUACAUGUGUUUUUCUUUAGAUAGACAGAUGUAGUAUGUCUGGGAAAAUACAGUGUAUCUCUAUAGAACAAUGGUGGAGUAGUAGACCUAAACUCUCCAAACAGCUAUAAAACAAGAGCAGCACACCUUAUGGGCCAAUCUCUGCCUAUAUAUGCAAUGCCAGGGGUCAGUAACCUGUGGCACAUGUGCCAACAUGGACACACAGAUGGAUAAUCACGGGUAUGCAAGUAAUAGGGGAAACUCUAUACCAACAAGUCCCCUAAAUGCUUAACAACUAAUGCUCAGAAGGUUGCUGACCCCUGAUCCACAGGCUACUGUGAUUGUUUUUGUUCUUUAGUCCAUUGUGAUGUCAGCUAGCAUUGUGCUUCCUGUUUACAAGGGAAGAGUAAAAUCCAAUAUGGCUGCCAAACAAGGUAGUUCACAUGCAUUCAGCCAUCUUAAGGCAUAUAAGGAAGAGCAUUGCAAGUUUACAGUUUGGAACUGUAGAAGGAAAAAAAAAGAGAAUUUUGGUUAAAAUCAAAGGUGUGAAAAGGGGUUUUCCAGCAUCCACCAUUCAGCUUCAUUCCCCUCAGCUAUUUGGUAAGGACCUUCUGCACCUACAUCAGGGCCAUGUCUGCAUUCCAGAUUUUAGGAACCUUUGGUGCUCCAGGAGAUCAGCGCCCUACAGCGCUUUGUGUUCAAGGAUGUUGAAACAGAUUCCUGCUCCUUUCCCCACUUCAUUGUUACCAGCACGACCACAGAGAAUGUACUGUAAAUAUCACCUAUCCAAACCUCUUCCGGAGUCCUUGGUCCUAUCUAUAUAUUAUCAGUAUGUGAUUUUAUAAUUUGCAUUAUAUAUUUAUAGCUGUUUGCAGUUGGUAAAAAUAAUAGCUCAUUUAUUUUUUUAUGAAUUCAUAAUAAGGUUCUUCACCUUAUUUGUUUUAAAACAGUUUAACUUUCCAUAAAUAAUAUAGCUCUGCCAUAGCGAAACCCAACUGAA
ensembl:lncRNA